rnacentral:rRNA from 1 species
AGGAUGAACGCUAGCUACAGGCUUAACACAUGCAAGUCCAUGGGCAGCAUGGUCUUAGCUUGCUAAGGCCGAUGGCGACCGGCGCACGGGUGAGUAACGCGUAUCCAACCUGCCGUCUACUCUUGGACAGCCUUCUGAAAGGAAGAUUAAUACAAGAUGGCAUCAUGAGUCCGCAUGUUCACAUGAUUAAAGGUAUUCCGGUAGGCGAUGGGGAUGCGUUCCAUUAGAUAGUAGGCGGGGUAACGGCCCACCUAGUCUUCGAUGGAUAGGGGUUCUGAGAGGAAGGUCCCCCACAUUGGAACUGAGACACGGUCCAAACUCCUACGGGAGGCAGCAGUGAGGAAUAUUGGUCAAUGGGCGAGAGCCUGAACCAGCCAAGUAGCGUGAAGGAUGACUGCCCUAUGGGUUGUAAACUUCUUUUAUAAAGGAAUAAAGUCGGGUAUGGAUACCCGUUUGCAUGUACUUUAUGAAUAAGGAUCGGCUAACUCCGUGCCAGCAGCCGCGGUAAUACGGAGGAUCCGAGCGUUAUCCGGAUUUAUUGGGUUUAAAGGGAGCGUAGAUGGAUGUUUAAGUCAGUUGUGAAAGUUUGCGGCUCAACCGUAAAAUUGCAGUUGAUACUGGAUAUCUUGAGUGCAGUUGAGGCAGGCGGAAUUCGUGGUGUAGCGGUGAAAUGCUUAGAUAUCACGAAGAACUCCGAUUGCGAAGGCAGCCUGCUAAGCUGCAACUGACAUUGAGGCUCGAAAGUGUGGGUAUCAAACAGGAUUAGAUACCCUGGUAGUCCACACGGUAAACGAUGAAUACUCGCUGUUUGCGAUAUACUGCAAGCGGCCAAGCGAAAGCGUUAAGUAUUCCACCUGGGGAGUACGCCGGCAACGGUGAAACUCAAAGGAAUUGACGGGGGCCUGCACAAGCGGAGGAACAUGUGGUUUAAUUCGAUGAUACGCGAGGAACCUUACCCGGGCUUAAAUUGCAGAUGAAUUACGGUGAAAGCCGUAAGCCGCAAGGCAUCUGUGAAGGUGCUGCAUGGUUGUCGUCAGCUCGUGCCGUGAGGUGUCGGCUUAAGUGCCAUAACGAGCGCAACCCUUGUUGUCAGUUACUAACAGGUUCCGCUGAGGACUCUGACAAGACUGCCAUCGUAAGAUGUGAGGAAGGUGGGGAUGACGUCAAAUCAGCACGGCCCUUACGUCCGGGGCUACACACGUGUUACAAUGGGGGGUACAGAGGGCCGCUACCACGCGAGUGGAUGCCAAUCCCCAAAACCUCUCUCAGUUCGGACUGGAGUCUGCAACCCGACUCCACGAAGCUGGAUUCGCUAGUAAUCGCGCAUCAGCCACGGCGCGGUGAAUACGUUCCCGGGCCUUGUACACACCGCCCGUCAAGCCAUGGGAGCCGGGGGUACAAGAAGUGCGUAACCGCGAGGAG